UACGUAGGUGGCAAGCGUUGUCCGGAUUUACUGGGCGUAAAGGGCGUGCAGGCGGUUUGGUAAGUGCAGGGUGAAAGCUCCCGGCUCAACUGGGAGAGGUCCUUGCAUACUGGCAGACUUGAGGGAGGCAGAGGAAAGUGGAAUUCCCGGUGUAGUGGUGAUAUGCGUAGAUAUCGGGAGGAACACCUGUGGCGAAGGCGGCUUUCUGGGCCUUACCUGACGCUGAGACGCGAAAGCGUGGGGAGCGAACCGG
rnacentral:rRNA from 1 species